UUUAUGUAUGUUACAUCAGAACUUUUGCCCGUGUGGACCGAUUUCGACAAAUUUUGUUUUAAUCGAAAGGUUUUGUGUACCAAUUGGUCCCAUUUAAAUUUGUUUGAGAUCUAACAACUACUUUUCGAGUUAUAUCUAAUAAUGCGUUUUUACUUGACGCUUUUUUCGUCGACCUACGUCGUAUUAUACCACAUAACUUUCUACUGGAUGUACCGAUUUUGAUAAUUCUUUUUUUGUUGGAAA
rnacentral:misc_RNA from 1 species